rfam:Myotis davidii contig226240, whole genome shotgun sequence.
ACUGCCCCUAGAGGCGUUGCAGGUGUGGCUGCCAUGCCCCUCCUGCAUCAUUAGGCAGCAGAGAGCAGAGAGGCUCGCCUACGCCCAGCGUCCUGGCUGUGGGCACCUGGAUGGUUGACGGCCUGACACG